rnacentral:rRNA from 1 species
GUCCACGCCCUAAACGAUGAACACUAGUCGUCGGUUUCAUUGAAGAGAUUGGUGACGAAGCAAACGCGUUAAGUGUUCCGCCUGGGGAGUACGGCCGCAAGGUUGAAACUCAAAGGAAUUGACGGGGGCCCGCACAAGCGGUGGAGCAUGUGGUUUAAUUCGAUGCAACGCGAAGAACCUUACCAGCCCUUGACAUCCUCGGAAUUUGGCAGAGAUGCCUUAGUGCCUUCGGGAAUCGAGUGACAGGUGCUGCAUGGCU